GACGAACGCUGGCGGCGUGCUUAACACAUGCAAGUCGAGCGGUAAGGCCCUUUCGGGGGUACACGAGCGGCGAACGGGUGAGUAACACGUGGGUGACCUGCCCUCAGCUCUGGGAUAAGCCUGGGAAACUGGGUCUAAUACCGGAUAUGACUCCAUGACGCAUGUUGUGGGGUGGAAAGCCUUGUGCGGCUGAGGAUGGGCCCGCGGCCUAUCAGCUUGUUGGUAGGGUGANGGCCUACCAAGGCGACGACGGGUAGCCGGCCUGAGAGGGCGACCGGCCACACUGGGACUGAGACACGGCCCAGACCCCUACGGGAGGGCAGCAGUGGGGAAGUCUUGCGCAAUGGGCGAAAGCCUGACGCAGCGACGCCGCGUGAGGGA
rnacentral:rRNA from 1 species